rnacentral:rRNA from 1 species
GACGAACGCUGGCGGCGUGCCUAAUACAUGCAAGUUGAGCGCUGAAGACUGGUACUUGUACCGGUUGGAUGAGCAGCGAACGGGUGAGUAACGCGUGGGUAACCUGCCCUAUAGAGGGGGAUAACUAGAGGAAACUUUAGCUAAUACCGCAUAAAAUCUAAUAACACAUGUUAUAAGAUUGAAAGUGCCAACUGGUACACUAUAGGAUGGACCCGCGUUGUAUUAGCUAGUUGGUGAGGUAAAGGCUCACCAAGGCGAUGAUACAUAGCCGACCUGAGAGGGGGAUCGGCCACACUGGGACUGAGACACGGCCCAGACUCCUACGGGAGGCAGCAGUAGGGAAUCUUCGGCAAUGGACGAAAGUCUGACCGAGCAACGCCGCGUGAGUGAAGAAGGUUUUCGGAUCGUAAAACUCUGUUGUAAGAGAAGAACACCAGUAAGAGUGGAAAGCUUACUGGCUGACGGUAUCUUACCAGAAAGCCACGGCUAACUACGUGCCAGCAGCCGCCGUAA